AAAUGAAUAGACGGGGGCCCGCACAAGCGGAGGAACAUGUGGUUUAAUUCGAUGAUACGCGAGGAACCUUACCCGGGCUUGAAAUGCAGAGGAAUAAUUUGGAAACAGGUUAGCCAGCAAUGGUCUCUGUGUAGGUGCUGCAUGGUUGUCGUCAGCUCGUGCCGUGAGGUGUCGGCUUAAGUGCCAUAACGAGCGCAACCCUUAUUGUUAGUUACUAACAGGUAAAGCUGAGGACUCUAACGAGACUGCCACCGUAAGGUGUGAGGAAGGUGGGGAUGACGUCAAAUCAGCACGGCCCUUACGUCCGGGGCGACACACGUGUUACAAUGGGAGGAACAGAAGGCAGCGACCUGGCGACAGGAAGCCAAUCUUAUAAAACCUCUCUCAGUUCGGAUCGGAGUCUGCAACCCGACUCCGUGAAGCUGGAUUCGCUAGUAAUCGCGCAUCAGCCAUGGCGCGGUGAAUACGUUCCCGGGCCUUGUACACACCGCCCGU
rnacentral:rRNA from 1 species